AUACGGAAGGUCCGAGCGUUAUCCGGAUUUAUUGGGUUUAAAGGGAGCGUAGGCGGGAUGCCAAGUCAGUUGUGAAAGUCCGCGGUUCAACCGUGGAAUUGCAGUUGAAACUGGUAUUCUUGAGUGUACAUAACGAAGGUGGAAUUUGUGGUGUAGCGGUGAAAUGCUUAGAUAUCACGAAGAACUCCGAUUGCGAAGGCAGCCUUCGGGGGUACUACUGACGCUGAGGCUCGAAAGUGCGGGAAUCAAACAGGAUUAGAUACCCUGGUAGUCCGCACCGUAAACGAUGGACACUCGUGGUUGGCCCUUGUGGUCAGUCACCCAGCGAAAGCGUUAAGUGUCCCACCUGGGGAGUACGCCGGCAACGGUGAAACUCAAAUGAAUUGACGGGG
rnacentral:rRNA from 1 species